rnacentral:sRNA from 1 species
GGCUGCGCAGCCCCCACUGAAGGGACUCAUGGUUAGUAGAUGCGGCUCCUGUGCCAUGGUAUCGCAAGAAGGGAGACGGGGGAAAAUCAGAUUGGGCGGAGCCUGCCCAGCAGUUGGGACUUUGUGAGCCGAGGGGCCUCCUCUCCAGGCUCCAGGCAUGUUCCACUGGAGGGCCCGGAGAGGGGUGACUGUCUUCCCUCCAGCCUUUGCUCUCUCAGGAAACUCCAAGGGGAGCAGCUGCCCCUGGCCGUGUCAUUGAGGAGUUUCCUAGCUCUGCUCCUGCCAUCUGAUUCGGUAACUCAGUCACAUACAUUCCCAGGGAACAUUUGUGUGUGUGCACAUUGAGUAGCUGAAGAUAAAGCCCUGGGUCAGGUCAGCUGCCCCCUGGCUGGUCUGUGAGGCCUAACUUUCUGGUGGGGGAGUUCCUAUGCCUUGGUUUGGGUCUGCAGGCUUAGAGUUUGCAAAUCAAGCUAGGCAGGUUAGUGUGCAGAUGAAGUGUAUCGAGGAAGCACUGUUUGUAGUUCAGAGCCCUAAGUUAAAGAAUGCCCUAAGUGAAAACAGCAGGUUGUGAUGUGCACACACAGGCGGAUGCGGUCACAGAGGACUUCGUUGAUGAUCAUUUUAUAUUUUAGUCUACUUGUCCUUGAGUCUUUAACUUUCUCAGUUCUCUCUUGCAACUUUCUAUGUCUCUUUUGAAAAGUUCCGGGUUGACCGGGCACAGUGGCUCAUGCCUGUAAUCCCAGCACUUUAGGGGGCUGAGGCGGGUGGAUCAUGUGAGGUCAAGAGUUUGAGACCAGCCUGGCCAACAUGGUGAAACCCCAUCUCUACUAAAAAUACAAAAAGUAGCCAGGUGUGGUGCGCACACCUUUAAUACCAGCUACUCAGGAAGCUGAGGCAGGAGAAUCACUUGAACCCAGGAGGCGGAGGUUGCACUGAGCCGAGAUUGCGCCAUUGCACUACAGUCUGGGCAACAAGAAUGAAACUGUGUCUCAAAAAAAAAAAAAAAAAAAAAAGGGUGAGUGCCAGGUGACAGGCCCGGAGGAGUUUUUGGAGAAGCUUGCUGAUGCCAGGGGCCCUGCCUUUGCUUGUGUUGGGAGCUGUUUUUCACACGCUACCCAGUGAGAGGCUUAGUGUACAUGGCCCCAUUUAUACAGUUUUCUCUCUGACAAUGAACUCAGGUGUCAGCGAGUGUUCCUUCUCAUUUCCACUUCUCACUUCUCUAAUUUACUUUUAGCUCAUCUAAAGGCUGCAAAUAAAAUUAUUAACAAUGACAUUUUAGCCUCGUCUGUGAGGCAAUCCGACCAGCCAUGGGUCCCCUCAGAUUCUAGGGUGUUUGCAGCAGCCCGACUCAGGGCCUGUGGUGUGUGUGCCUCUCCACAGCGUACAUCGUGGCCGUGUACCACUGUAUGAAGGACGGGCUGAGGCGCAGUGCUCCAGGGAGCACCCCCGUGAGGAGGAGGGGGGCCAGCCAGCUCUCCCAGGAGGCCGAGGGGGCGGUCGGAGCCCUUCCCGGAAUGAUCACCUUCUCUCAGGAUUAUGUCGCAAAUGAACUCACUCAGAGCUUCUUCACCAUCACUCAGAAGAUUCAGAAGAAAGUCACAGGCUCUCGGAACUCCACUGAGCUCUCGGAGAUGUUUCCUGUCCUCCCCGGUUCCCACUUGCUGCUCAAUAACCCUGCCCUGGAGUUCAUCAAAUACGUGUGCAAGGUGCUGUCCCUGGACACCAACAUCACAAACCAGGUGAAUAAGCUGAACCGAGACCUGCUUCGCCUGGUGGAUGUCGGCGAGUUCUCUGAGGAGGCCCAGUUCCGAGACCCCUGCCGCUCCUACGUGCUUCCUGAGGUCAUCUGCCGCAGCUGUAACUUCUGCCGCGACCUGGACCUGUGUAAAGACUCUUCCUUCUCAGAGGAUGGGGCGGUCCUGCCUCAGUGGCUCUGCUCCAACUGUCAGGCGCCCUACGACUCCUCUGCCAUCGAGAUGACGCUGGUGGAAGUUCUACAGAAGAAGCUGAUGGCCUUCACCCUGCAGGACCUGGUCUGCCUGAAGUGCCGCGGGGUGAAGGAGACCAGCAUGCCUGUGUACUGCAGCUGCGCGGGAGACUUCGCCCUCACCAUCCACACCCAGGUCUUCAUGGAACAGAUCGGAAUCUUCCGGAACAUUGCCCAGCACUACAGCAUGUCGUACCUCCUGGAGACCCUGGAGUGGCUGCUGCAGAAGAACCCACAGCUG